rnacentral:rRNA from 1 species
UAGGGAAUCUUCGGCAAUGGACGAAAGUCUGACCGAGCAACGCCGCGUGAGUGAAGAAGGUUUUCGGUUCGUAAAACUCUGUUGUUAGAGAAGAACAAGGACGUUAGUAACUGAACGUCCCCUGACGGUAUCUAACCAGAAAGCCACGGCUAACUACGUGCCUGCAGCCGCGGUAAUACGUAGGUGGCAAGCGUUGUCCGGAUUUAUUGGGCGUAAAGCUAGCGCAGGCGGUUUCUUAAGUCUGUUGUGAAAGCCUCCGGCAUAACCGGGGAGAGUCAUUGGAAACUGGGGAACUUGAGAUCAGAAGAGGAGAGGUGAAUUCCAUGUGUAGCGGUGAAAUGCGUAGAUAUAUGGAGGAACACCAGUGGCGAAGGCGGCACUCUGGUCUGUAACUGACGCUGAGGCUCGAAAGCGUGGGGAGCAAACAGG